AAAAAAACAAUGCAGAGAGACAUUCGCAAGUGGAUUUAGUUAAUGCCUAAACCUAGACGUGAGCGGGUUUCAGCCGAGCUGGGCCGAGUUCGUGCUUGUCAGCAAUGAGAGCAAAUAAAUGUUGCAAAUACUGUAAAAUUACAGUGGAGCAUUACACUCAACACGUUGAUUACAAUUUAAAUUCAAAAACCGGCUGCACGUUGUUGUUAUUGUGAGCGGGUUGCUGGUGUGCGUGCGUAAGUGUGCGAGAGCGCCAGAGAGCGAGAGCGCGAGUGAGAGCGCGCGCGCGUUUUGAAACGUUUUGAUAAUGGAACGAGU